AGAAAUUGUGUUUCAAAACUUAUCAUACAUUUGCCAUUAAAUUCUAAACUCACUAGUUGUUUUUAAGUUUUUGCCUACAGUUUAGAUGAACCUUGCUUGUUCCUGUGAACCAACAAGCAAGCUCCAGCUACAGCUCAGAAAGAACAAAAGGCCAUCAAACUCCAGUCAUGCAACUGGAGAGGCGGACAAUGGCCCAUUCUGCUGGGAACCCUUAAAUAGGCCUCUGAGGGACUUUGACUGCUGUUUUGCCGAAACAGCACCCCCUGUCAGCAGGAAGCAGUUAAGAUCGGUCUUUGUCCUUAUCCUUAUCCUUAUUCUAAUGGCAGUUAGAUGCAUUUCUUUAGAGGGGGCAAUGAGACAGCCAGGUGGGAAGGGGUCCCCAGAGAAACUCCAGCCUGCACACUGGGAGGAGUGUGCACUGGGGUGAAGCCACAGAAGUUUGCGCCAUUUCCAGUGGGGAAGAGCCCAGCCCCUCCUCUUCCUGGGUGGAACCUGAAAUUCAAACUGCCAGGUGGGAAGCCCACAAGCAGGGAGUCUGGCUUUGCAGAAGGACCGUUUCCCUCUUUUCCUUUUCACCCAAUAAACGCUGCCCUCCUCACACUUCAAA
rnacentral:lncRNA from 1 species